rnacentral:rRNA from 1 species
UACCAGCACCCCGAGUGGUCGGGACGUUUAUUGGGCCUAAAGCAUCCGUAGCCGGUUCUACAAGUCUUCCGUUAAAUCCAACUGCUUAACAGGUGGGCUGCGGAAGAUACUAUAGAGCUAGGAGGCGGGAGAGGCAAGCGGUACUCGAUGGGUAGGGGUAAAAUCCGUUGAUCCAUUGAAGACCACCAGUGGCGAAGGCGGCUUGCCAGAACGCGCUCGACGUGAGGGAUGAAGCUGGGGGAGCAAACCGG